ensembl:lncRNA
CGCGGCCGGCCGGGCGCAGCUGCGCCUCGUCGGGAGCCGCGGGCGGGGCCCGCCCCAAAGCCUCUUAAGCUCCUCCGGAGGCUGCGGGAGCCACGGGGGAGUUUCUGCGGUUGUGGAUAGGAGACGGAGUGAGUUCUGUUUCUUUGUCGGGCCCUGACGCUGCUGAGGCUGAGAAGCGGCUGCUGUGAGACCUUUCGCGGUAAGGACCAGCCCAAACAGCGGGUGCUUCAGUUCUUCAGGCUCUCCUCGGCUGAGCGAGGGCUGCAGCAGAGGCUCUCAUCGGCCCGAAGCAGUGAGCUCGUGGAAGCGGAAAGACAGACCGGCCAGGCGGUGGAGUCUCUCUUCGAGGGAGAGAACGGGAACGUAUCGAGCUCCACCUAGGGGUGAAUGAAGAACCAGCGGAGCGUUUGUGCGUGAGGCUGAAGAGGCAGUGGUUUCUGCUGAGAGUGCUCCUGGGGAACCUGGGGUCCUGGAGGAGAGAGUCCCUGAGGAAGGAUGUCUUCCCCUCAGUUGCGGAGGAGCUGGUCAAAGGUACCUGAAGACUGGAGGAUGGCGGAUGCCACCGCAGCCUUCAGAAAGGGUGUGGAGGAUGGCGUGUGCAACUUGGAGGUAGGUUGGCCUCAUGUCUGUUCCUGGGGAGGUGACGCAACAGCUUGUUGCAGGUGUCAUUGCCAUGUGACUGGAGGAGAAGGUAUUUGCAAGGAGCAGUCCAGGUGGAUGGACAGAGGAGAAGUCAUGCCGGACCAAAAGGCUGCAGAGAGGAUUGGCUGGAGCAGGUCUCUGUGCAGGUUCAGGCUGGAGGCAGGAUCCUGGCGGUGUGAGUGGGGCGCCCCUGUGGAGCAAGGGUGGAAGGUGCGUGGCAGGUCCUGUCCCGGAGGAGUGGAGUUAAGGGUCCUGGCGUGGCUGUUUUCCUGCAUGGAAGAUGGAGAUCCUGGGAGCUGUGAUGAGGAGGAGCAGAGCCAGCAGGUAGGCCUGGGGUGUUGUGCUGUCUUGGCUCUGUUUGUGUUUGCUUAGGUGGCUGGCUGGCUUUGGUGUGUAAGAGGUUUGUGUUGGUGAUGUGGCAGGCUUGUUUGCUGGUGGUCUUGUGGUGGGGCUUGUCUUUUUUUUUUGGUUAGGAGGCUGGUGGUAGAAAGUGGCUUGGGUGGUUUCGGUGUGGUAGGUGGAGUUGGCUUUGUGGUGUGCUGGUUGUUGGGUUUGGUGGUGGUUUUUCUUGGGAGCUGUCUGGCUUUAUUUGGUUGUUGGCAGUACAGUGGCAGGCUGGUGUGGCGGUCUCUUUUGUCUUCUGGUGGCCUUUGGUGUGUGUGUUUUUUGUUUUGAGGCUGGUGGAGGGAAUGUCUUGUGGCUGGUUGUGUUGGGUAGUAGUGUGGUGUUUGUUUUGGAGCUGUGUGGUGAACAGCCAAGAGCAGAGCCUGCCCUGGGGGUGGGCUGUGCUCUUGGCUGGUGGUGGGGGGCUGUGCAGUGGGGAUUGCACUAUCUCAAAGAGAUUAUUUUUUUUUGGGUGGGAGGUGGGGAUGGUCAGUCUCGGAAGUGC